rnacentral:rRNA from 1 species
GACGAACGCUGGCGGCGUCCUUAACACAUGCAAGUCGAACGAAGAGCGAUGGAAGCUUGCUUCUAUCAAUCUUAGUGGCGAACGGGUGAGUAACGCGUAAUCAACCUGCCCUUCAGAGGGGGACAACAGUUGGAAACGACUGCUAAUACCGCAUACGAUCUAAUCUCGGCAUCGAGGAUAGAUGAAAGGUGGCCUCUACAUGUAAGCUAUCACCGAAGGAGGGGAUUGCGUCUGAUUAGCUAGUUGGAGGGGUAACGGCCCACCAAGGCGAUGAUCAGUAGCCGGUCUGAGAGGAUGAACGGCCACAUUGGGACUGAGACACGGCCCAGACUCCUACGGGAGGCAGCAGUGGGGAAUCUUCCGCAAUGGACGAAAGUCUGACGGAGCAACGCCGCGUGAGUGAUGACGGCCUUCGGGUUGUAAAGCUCUGUUAAUCGGGACGAAAGGCCUUCUUGCGAAUAGUGAGAAGGAUUGACGGUACCGGAAUAGAAAGCCACGGCUAACUACGUG